rnacentral:rRNA from 1 species
AGUGAACGCUGGCGGUAGGCCUAACACAUGCAAGUCGAACGGCAGCACAGUAAGAGCUUGCUCUUACGGGUGGCGAGUGGCGGACGGGUGAGGAAUACAUCGGAAUCUACUUUUUCGUGGGGGAUAACGUAGGGAAACUUACGCUAAUACCGCAUACGACCUACGGGUGAAAGCAGGGGAUCUUCGGACCUUGCGCGAUUGAAUGAGCCGAUGUCGGAUUAGCUAGUUGGCGGGGUAAAGGCCCACCAAGGCGACGAUCCGUAGCUGGGCUGAGAGGAUGGGCGGCCGCACUGGAAGUGGGGCACGGUGCAGACUCCUGCGGGAGGGAGCAGUGGGGAAUAUUGGGCAAUGGGGGGAAGCCUGGUCCAGCCAUACCGCGUGGGUGAAGAAGGGCUUCGGGUUGUAAAGCCCUUUUGUUGGGAAAGAAAAGCAGCAGGUUAAUACCCCGCUGUUCUGACGGUACCCAAAGAAUAAGCACCGGCUAACUUCGUG